GUGCUCUCUUCAGCAGCACAUAUACGAAAAUUGGAACAAUACAGAAAAGAUUAACAUGGCCCAUGUGCAAAGAUGACAUGCAAAUUCAUGAAGCAUUCCAUAUUUUG